rnacentral:rRNA from 1 species
AUGAACGCUGGCGGCGUGCCUCAUCCAUGCAAGUCGAGCGCACAGACGAGGAGCUUGCUCCUCUGACGUUAGCGGCGGACGGGUGAGUAACACGUGGAUAACCUACCUAUAAGACUGGGAUAACUUCGGGAAACCGGAGCUAAUACCGGAUAAUAUAUUGAACCGCAUGGUUCAAUAGUGAAAGACGGUUUUGCUGUCACUUAUAGAUGGAUCCGCGCCGCAUUAGCUAGUUGGUAAGGUAACGGCUUACCAAGGCGACGAUGCGUAGCCGACCUGAGAGGGUGAUCGGCCACACUGGAACUGAGACACGGUCCAGACUCCUACGGGAGGCAGCAGUAGGGAAUCUUCCGCAAUGGGCGAAAGCUUGACGGAGCAACGCCGCGUGAGUGAUGAAGGUCUUCGGAUCGUAAAACUCUGUUAUUAGGGAAGAACAAAUGUGUGAGUAACUAUGCACGUCUUGACGGUACCUAAUCAGAAAGCCACGGCUAACUACGUG